UUUUUUUUUUCUGCAGAGAUGGGAUCUACAGUUUUGAACAGGAUCUCAAAGGGGCUAUGAUCCAGAUGACACCAGGACUCUGCUUUAGGAAGUGUCUUUAUACAUCAUCCAUAUGUAACUGCAUCCAGAUGGACUAGUAUGCUGCAACUCUCUGCCCCAGAGAAGCCCAAGAGCACAUCUACUUCUUUCCUUCUAUUGGAGACCCUUAGAAGGGUAAGAGGAAGGGCUUCCCAGGGCAAUUGUGGACUGGGAUGCUGACUAUGCCUCCAACAACUCAGUAGCUAAAGUUGCACUUGGGACAUGAGAUAGAGAGUGCAAUUUUCCCCCUUUCAGAAUAUGCUUUUUUCUUUUUAUGUUUUCACUUUGGCAAAUUGAAAUUUACAGGAAAGUUGUAAAAAUCUCCCCAUUUGCCACCUCCUGGAUUCUCUAAAUGUUAACAUCUGGCGCCACAUGCUAUUCUCUUCCUUCACACAUUCCGCUGUGAGACAUUGGACAUCAAGCUGCAAACAGCUUGCUUCUAUACUCUUCCUUUUCUGUGCAUAUGUGUGUAUACCCACUCCAUAGAGACACUGCCUUUCAUGGCCAUAGUGCAACCAUCAAAGGAAAUUAAUACUGACACAGUACUAUAAAACUUAUAGCAGAUCUUAUUCAGAUUUUGCAAGUUUUCUAUUUUAUAGUCAACCUCGUUUCCUUCUCCCAAAUCUCAGACUACAUUCUGUUGCCAAGUCUCUUUAGCCUUUUUUUUUUUUUAAUUUUUUAAUAUUUAUUUUUUAGUUUUCGGCGGACACAACAUCUUUGUUGGUAUGUGGUGCUGAGGAUCGAACCCGGGCCGCACGCAUGCCAGACGAGCGCGCUACCGCUUGAGCCACAUCCCCAGCCCCUCUCUUUAGCCUUUAAUCUGACCAAACACUGACAUUUUUGAAAGGUGCAUCAGACUUUUUUUUGGUGGUGGUUGUUGGUAAUCACACCUAGGGAACUCACAUGUGCUAGGCACGUGUUCUACUACAAAGCUACAUUCCCCAGCCCCCAGACGAUUUUUUUUUUUUAAAGAAAGGGGGGGAGAGAGAGAAUAUUUUUUUUUUAAUAUUUAUUUUUCAGUUCUCGGCAGACACAACAUCUUUGUUUGUAUGUGGUGCUGAGGAUCGAACCCGGGCCGCACGAAUGGCAGGGGAGCUCGAUACCGCUUGAGCCACAUCCCCAGCCCCCAGACGAAUUAUUUUGAAGAACAAUUCUAAUGAUGUCCACUAACAAUUGAUGAUUGACUAAUUGUCAUUCUACCUACAUUUAUAAGUUGACUAUUAUCUGGAAGAGUUCUAUUUCUCUUUUUAUGUCCUCGAGUUUCUACUUUACUCAUUGAGUUCUUUACUGAAAUCAUAAUGUCCCAGAUUAGGCCAGUGGUAGCCUUUCAACCUGUUUUCUGUAUCCUCAUGUGCCUCUUUAUUUAUUUACAUAUAUAUAUUAUAUAUAUAUAUAUAUUAUAUAUAUUUUAAAGAGAGAGAGAAUUUUAAUAUUUAUUUUUUUAGUUAUCGGCGGACACAACAUCUUUGUUUGUAUGUGGUGCUGAGGAUCGAACCCUGGGCCGCACGCAUGCCAGGCAAGCACGCUACCGCUUGAGCCCCCUCUUUUUUUCUUACUAAGCCACAAAGGGUGGUCUUGAAUUCAAGCCUUCUGAAUAGUUGGGACUAAUGGGCCCAUGCCCGUGCCUGGCACACACUUUCUGAUAUAUGCAAGAAGGUAAUGAGAAACAAUGUGUAGUUUUAAUUUGUAUUUCUCUAAUUACAAGUAUGAUUGAACUUCUUUUCAUAUUUCGGAAUCUAAUUUAUGAAUUGUCUUUUUUUUAUGUGGUGCUUAAGUACCUCACACAUACCAGGCAAGCACACUACUACUUGAGCCAUAUCUCCAGCCCCAUGAAUUGUCUUUUGUCCAAGUAUUUUCCUUCUCAAACUUUAAGAAUUCUAUGCAAGUUAGGGAUUUAGCCCAUUUAUUGUGAAAUAUCUUGCAAAUAUUUUCUUUCAGUUUCUCAAUACCUUUUGACCUUGUUUGCAUUCCCAUGGAAAUGUUUUAUUUUGAUUAUACUUUUAUAUGGCCAAAAUUGAUUAAUAUUUUGUUUCACUUAAUCUGGGCUUCAAGUCAUUGAAAAAUUUUCCCUACACCUGGGUAAAAAGGCAUCCACUUCUGGGAGUGGUGGUGUGUGCCUCAAGUUCUAGGCUCAGCAGACUGAGGCAGGAGGGUCAUUUGAGCCCAGAAGUUCAGGACCAGCUGGGUAACAGCUAGACCCCGUUUCUAUAAAAGAAGAGAAAUUCACUCAUGCACACUUGCAUGGUUUCACAUUUCUCUUCAGAUUCCUGGUCUGUUUUGAGCAUAUUUUGUGAGGUAUAGAUCUAAUUUUAUGUUCCUCCAAACGGUCAACCAGUUAUCUUGAACUAUCUUUUGCAAAAUCUAUCUGCAUCCAUGUCUGAACUCUCUGUUCCCAUCCACAAGCCUGACUCUCACACUGCUUUAAUUAUGGGGCCUUGAUCUUGUGCUCUAAUGUCUGAAAAGGCUAGUCUCCUCUUUGCAAGUUUUCUUUUUUUCCUGAUGUAAAUAAAAAAAAUGUUUUCACAGAUGUAAAUACAGUUUUAAUGGAAAAAUCUGAUACUUCCAAUUGUCGAAAAGGAAAUACCUUUCUGAGUUGGAGCUCAGUGGUAGAGCAUUUGCCUAGCAUGUGUGAGGUCUUGGGUUCGAGCCUCAGUACCACAUAAAAACAAAAAUACUGUGUCCGUUCACAUCUAGGGGAAAAAAAAAAAGGAAAUACCAGCAGAAAGUUUAUGCAUAUUAAACAUCUGGAAGCACAGAGGUCUAUCUGGAUCUCAACAUUGAAGUAUAUUUGUGCUUUUGGUUUCUAUUUUGAUAAAUAACCUGCUAGUUCUCAAAUAAUUCCUGGUAGAAGCUUAUUGUGCCAUUGAUUAUUCUUGACACUUAUUAUUAUUCUUUUCACUUAUCAUUAGAGCUGUUACUGGUAAGGACCUGCAAGUCAGCUUCAAAAUGUGAAAAGGCUGCAGACAAUUCUGUGGUCAGCUGAUGUAGGGAGGACCCAUUUCCUGUCCUGCUGCCUGCUCCAGUUCCAGCUGCAUCACUUGCUCAUUUGAAAGAUCUUCUUCAUGGAUCACAGUAACUGGUUCAUGUCAGUCUCUACCAUCUCUUCCAGGGCUACAUUCUUCUUCUUUUUUUUUUUUUUAAGAGAGUGAGAAAGGGAGAGAAUUUUAAUAUUUAUUUAUUUUUUUAGUUAUCAGUGGACACAACAUCUUUGUUUGUAUGUGGUGCUGAGGAUCGAACCCGGGCCACACGCAUGCCAGGCGAGUGCGCUACCGCUUGAGCCACAUCCCCAGCCCGAGGACUACAUUCUUGGCAAGGGUCACAAUGUUUUAUUGAAGUUGUGCAAUUGUAUCUGUUUGAGAAAAACUCUGGGAAUGAACACACUCUAGUCAAAUCUCCCCCACACUGUUCAUCUUUGCUAGCUUGAUCUUCUCCCAAGAUACUACAAUAUUAUCUACAGCAUCCAUUAUGUCAUUUCUCCAAAACUCUGAUCACAGCUGUAUCCUUGCCAUCUGCUGCUCUUCGGGUGUACUCUAAAGUCCUUCUCAGGUAAUGAGCUUUGAAGGCUGAGGCUACACCUUGACCCAUGGGCUAGACUGAGUCAGCUAUACUGUCUUGAAGAUCUUCUAUUCUUACAUUAUCAGAAAGAUCACUCAAAUUUACUGGGUGGUAUGACACAUUGUCUAGAAUGAGCAAUGCUUUCUUGGUGAGAUUAUUCUGGGCACAGUAGUUUUCAAUAGCAGGGCAAAAAAUGCAUGUAAACCAUUCAAGAUGCUCCUGGUAGCCCAACACUUUUUGUUUUGAGUGCCAGAUUAUAGGCAAAUUGGGCUUUGAGUACCCCUUCAGAGCCUUGGGAGUUUCUGAGUGGUACACCAACAAGGGCUUCAACUGUCCCCAGCUGCACUUCCACUAAGCAGCAGCAUCCAUCUAGACCCAGGGUCAGCUUUCUCUCAUUGAAAUAAACUUUCUUUCAGACAUUCUCUUCCAGUAUAGGCCUUUGUUACCUACAUCAAAAACCUGCUGGGGUUGUAUUCACUUUUGAUGGUGUUUUCCAGCACAUAUGGAUAUAUGUCUCAGUUGUUGCUAGGGAGGUGCACUCUUCCUCUGGAAGUGGGGCAGACAGUGGCACUCUUUGAAUCUCACAAACCAUGCUUUACUCUCUCUAGUUAUAGAGUUCCCACCUUGUUGAUGCUGUAAGACAUGAAACAAACUCAGCCUUCUUCUGAAUGAUGGUGACAUUCCAGCUCAUUUUGCUGGCUCUGUUCUUCCAGCCACAUAAUCAACAAACAUUCCAUGCUCUAUUAUGGCAUUUUGUCCGGGGAUUGAAUUCAGGGGCACUCCACCACUGAGCCAUAGCCCCAGCCCUAUUUUGUAUUAUUAUUAGAGACAGGGUUUUGUGGGAGGCCAUCCUCGCACCUGAUUUAUCUCCCUGGCUGGACGAGAGGCGCUUAGACACAGCUGUGUCAGAGCUAUUCCCCAUCCUUUUCCAGGUCCGAGGGCUUGCCCGUGCAGAGGCGUGCCUGGCCACUUCCCCGAAGACCCAAUCGUCGCCCAUGACCUUGGGAUGCUGCCCCCCUUAAGUGUCAUUGAUGGGAUUUUCCCUUGAAUUUUUUGUUCCCCAAUAAAAGUCCACUCCCUGGUGUGUUCUCUCCCUCCUGUAAACCUGGAUACCGCAUUAGGUGGCUGGAGGCAGGAGCUAGGAGAAGCCGUCCUGGAGCUGGUAUUAAAAGUAAUAGGAUGAUGGGCUGGGGAUGUGGCUCAAGCGGUAGCGCGCUCGCCUGGCAUGCAUGCGGCCCGGGUUCCAUCCUCAGCACCAUGUACAAAUGAUGUUGUGUACGCAAAAAAAAAAAAAAAAAGUAAUAGGAGUCUUGUCUCUUUAAAACUGCCUAGCAUUUACUCAUGAAUCGUACCUUCUUUCAUGAAGCCAGCGCUGGUCGCGUGGCAGAGGGUUUCACUGAAUUGCUUAGCGCUUCACCCAUUGCUGAGGCUGUCUUUGAUCUUGCGAUCCUCCUGCCUCAGCUGCCUCAGCGUCCCCAGCCGCUGGGAUUACAGGCGGCGGCACCACCACUCGGGCUCCAUCGUGACACUUCAAUGGCAAGUCAACAGAAGGGCUUUCAAGGGAGUAGUUAUUUGUGAACUGGCCUUGACUUUUUAUUAUCUCGGAUGGCCGCCACUGUAGAGACAGCAAAAGUCUCGCCAUUGUAGAGACUUCUGCGUUUUGACUGCAAGUUAUAUCAACACUUCUAAUCUGAUGUCGAGGGUAAUUGCUUUCUGCUCCUUUUGGUAUUAGGGAUGACAGUCGCAUCCAGGGGCCUUUUCCUAAACCCUUGGGCUUCCAACAUGUAACGGAAGCACACUGGUUUCAGGUGCUUUAGAAAGAACCUGGGAAAGGGAAAACGAGGCUGCUAAGAGGGACAGGGCCAUGCCCCGGGAGACGCGGUCCAGAGGCCGCCCAGACCCAGGCUGGUCCGUCCCCGGUGCACAGCACUCGCAGGGGGCUCU
rnacentral:lncRNA from 1 species